GGUCUCGUGGUGCCCCUCAUUGACUCCGACUGCACCAGCAGUCUGGCUUCAUCAACAAUGUUCAUGAUCUUCCCCAGAGCCUCGUUCCCCAGAGUCUCCAUGACGGAGGCAAACUGCACCUGGCACAGGGCAGACGUCACAGACUGUGACGUCUGGGUGAAAUUCUGUGUGUGGAGUGAUCUGGAUCUGAACCAGAACCACAGCAACAGUCCAGCCUGAGGACUGUGGUGAGUCCUGUCUGCUGUCAGCCACACUAAACAUCUGUCCACAAUAUGAUGCAGCAGAUGUAACAGCAGUCCAGCAGAUCGGGCAGAGACCAGGUCCAGCCGCACCGCUCCUCACCAGCUUCUCCUGGGUGUCCACCUCCAGUGCGGCCGUCAGAGGUGGGUCCUCUCCGGUGCUGCCGGUCCGGACCUCCAGGCUGAGCAGGAAGGCCG